CAUUGAUGUAUUUAUAAAAUUAUAGAACCCUUUUACAUAUUAAAUUUUAAUUACAAUAUUGAAAUUAAUAAUUAUUAUUAAUAAAUAUUCAAACUAUAAACAAUAGCCAAUAGUAAUAAAUUGAUCAACAAAUUAAUAAUUUUAAUAACUAAAAAACUAUCCUAGGAUAAUGGGAACAGGUGCAGCCUCUGUUGUACUUAGGAAGUUGGAAAGGUAGAAAACAGAAAGAAAUUUAAUGUAUAUCUGUAAAUAACAAUAAACUAUUGCUAUAGGAAAAUUGAUUCUGAGCAAAGUUCAGUUAAUAGUGAUUCAUUGUCGACAAUAUAUGGGCUGAUCAAUCUAUCGUAAUACACUCAUCUUGA